rnacentral:rRNA from 1 species
UUUUAAAUUGAGAGUUUGAUCCUGGCUCAGGACGAACGCUGGCGGCGUGCCUAACACAUGCAAGUCGAGCGAUGAAACUUCCUUCGGGAAGUGGAUUAGCGGCGGACGGGUGAGUAACACGUGGGUAACCUGCCUCAAAGAGUGGGAUAGCCUUCCGAAAGGGAGAUUAAUACCGCAUAACAUUAUUUUAUGGCAUCAUAAAAUAAUCAAAGGAGCAAUCCGCUUUGAGAUGGACCCGCGGCGCAUUAGCUAGUUGGUGAGGUAACGGCUCACCAAGGCAACGAUGCGUAGCCGACCUGAGAGGGUGAUCGGCCACAUUGGAACUGAGACACGGUCCAGACUCCUACGGGAGGCAGCAGUGGGGAAUAU